rnacentral:rRNA from 1 species
GACGAACGCUGGCGGCGUGCCUAAUACAUGCAAGUCGAACGAGAGCGACCGGUGCUUGCACUGGUCAAUCUAGUGGCGAACGGGUGAGUAACACGUGGGUAACCUGCCCAUCAGAGGGGGAUAACAUUCGGAAACGGAUGCUAAAACCGCAUAGGUUCUACAGUCGCAUGACUGAAGAAGGAAAAGAGGCUUCGGCUUCUGCUGAUGGAUGGACCCGCGGUGCAUUAGCUAGUUGGUGAGGUAACGGCUCACCAAGGCCGUGAUGCAUAGCCGACCUGAGAGGGUGAUCGGCCACAUUGGGACUGAGACACGGCCCAAACUCCUACGGGAGGCAGCAGUAGGGAAUCUUCCGCAAUGGACGCAAGUCUGACGGAGCAACGCCGCGUGAGUGAAGAAGGAUUUCGGUUCGUAAAACUCUGUUGUUAGAGAAGAACAGCGCAUAGAGUAACUGUUAUGCGUGUGACGGAUCUACCAGAAGCC